rnacentral:lncRNA from 1 species
CAUUGGUAUAUUUUUGUCGGACUAACCCCUGCAGAAAAACUUUCAAUAUCGAUUUGGGAAGUCCUGAGAUAAACUCACAUCAGAGACGAAGAGAGUGACACAUGAAGUUUAACAAUUUGCACAAGAAGGACAUAGCUCAUUCAUCAUAGAGAGAUGAUCCAUGGAAGGUGCCACAAACACGAUGCACAACCACUAAGAAAGGAAAGCUUCCACAAGGUGAUACUGUACCAUCACUCUUCAAGCAAGGUAACAUCUUAAGGUACUUGACUAUCACUUUUAUAAGCUUCUCCUUAGUUCUGGCAUUCAUAUAAAUAAAAGAGAUAAACAUGUAUGAUUUACAACUCUAGAUUAACCAACCCAACUGAUUCAAUAUGUUUAGUCCUUUAAUCCUUGUUCUUAGUACUACCUCUAUGAUCCCACACUCCUAAUCAUAUGAGCUAAAAUGUUACACAUUCAAUCAUUGAGAGAUAUAAAGAAAAAGACAUAUACAUAGAUAGAUUAUCUUUCCAUAAGGUUGAGCGAUCUGAUCUGACAAAUGUUAUAAGUGCUACACUCAUGAACUUUUCAUCCAUCAACUUUGUCUUGCUCACUAUGCUUAGGGUUAGAGAAGAACAAAUACACUUUAGGUUCUGUUGGUGCUUUCCACCAACAGGACCCAUGCACUUGAUCUCUGCCUUGUCUCUAUGAGCAGGUACACUUUGAGCAAAACACGGAGGAGUUUUAUAACUCUCAGACUCUACCAAGUGAAGGACCUGGAUCUACGAGCACAAACACACUGAGCAGGAUACUGCCAACGCCGCACUUCGAACUGCUGGGCAAACGAAGAACAUGGGUGACACCAUAUCAAGAGGUGCAGACGUCAAGGUCCGCACCUGAAUCAAAUGACACACCUGAAGAAUGAACUUGGUGAGAAGUCUUGUCAAGAAGACUUAAAACAUUGAACCCUCGCCGAAAGGUAAGAUCGGUAGUUAUCCAUAUUUAUCCUUUCUGCAUUCCCUUUUCCCUUUAAUUAUUUACUUUCCUUAAAUAGCUUAUUAGUUAAUCAUGCUAUCUUGAAAAGAAAAUAAAAAUGUUAAAAAUACUAAGCCCCAUGUGAGUAUGCUCGUGGCAUGAAACCCAUAAGUACAUUCACUGUGGUGGCGUAAAAAUAAAAUAAAUAUAUUCCUGUCCUAUAGAAAUGAAAAUAUAAAAAUAAAUUUAUGAUCCUACCAAAGUGAGUAAUAUUUAUUAGAGGAAGCUCAACAUGAUAAAAGGCAAAGAGAUUUUAUGCUAACACUUAAUUAGUUCCACAAGCUUUGUUGUCUAUUUGAGCUCCACAGAAUUUAAGAAUCAAGAAGACUAGCAGACGGAGGACAUUCUAAUCGCUGUCAGAAUGCUGCUGACUUUCAAAUACACCUCUGCCACCUGCUAGCUACAUCAAGAGAAAUUACGUCAAAAUUCAGCUUGGGGGAGAGCACCCCCAUUUAUCUCGCUAAGUAUUUCUACCUAUCUUUAUACUUAUAUUAUAUUAGAAUAUUAAAAUACAUAAACUAUGAAAAACCAAAUAAAGAUUUUGUGCUUAUAUAUAUAUAUAUCUUUUGCUUAGUGUGUUUAAUAAAUAAAGUGGCUAUGCUAAUCUGAAUCUUAAUAAUAAAACUCUAGCAUAGAUAUGAUGAAUAGUUGCUCUGCCUAAUUUGCAAAUUUGAAGUUCUCUCUCAAGUUUAGACAUAACUGUUAUAAUUUAAAGCUUGCUCUAGAUCUAAACUUGUGGGAUGAAAACUUGAUCUGAAAUAUAAGUUGUUAACGGAUAUGAUAUGGGAAGGUUGAGCUGCUGUUUAUCUGUUCCUAGAGAUGCUAGAAUUCUGGAGAAUUUUAUCUUUGAAAAAUCUUUAAAAUAUUGCAUGAUGAGUUCCUCUAUGAUGAGAGUUUAAAUUCCUACCACAACCAUAUAUAUACAUGUUUGCUAGACUUUGAGCCACACAUUUAUUAUUUACUGCUUAUGAGCAUUGAGUGUGGUCAAGCUAUGUAGACCCUUAGGAGCUUAUCAUGUGGUUAAAUCAAGAUUCACUUGCACGUUCACUCAUAUAUGCUACUUCUACUCCGGAAGUACCAUCCACAUAUAUCCAUCCAUGUCCAUCUCCAGAACCACCCAAAAAUAUUCUACUCCUAAUUCGGGAGAGAAUAGCCAAAAAUAUUUCUAUUUUCCCUUGUGAAAUAAAUGCUCAAGUUAUCUUGCUACUACCACUUGCUAUAUUAUCUCAAGAGAUGAGUGCUCUGAAAAAAAAAAGAAAAAAAAUAAUAAACGAGGAAAUAAAAAGGGACAAGUGCCCGGAACCUCGAAAGAAAAAAAAAGAGUGAGACGAAAAUGGACAAGUGUCUGACAGUAGAAUUAGGGGUACAGGAUACCCACCUGAGAGGAAAGAAAAAGAAGAGCAUCUCAUUCUCCUCAUAAAGUUUCAAAAAGCAAGGAAGGUAUGUAUCCCCUCAAAAGAGCAAAAGUAGAAUUAGACUUCCCACCAUUGUUAUCACCAUCAUCACCAUACACCAUUCAUUCGCCACACAUGCACAUCUUGAUUUGGCUUAUUGAUUUGUUUCUUUGGAUCCAUGGUUUGACUAUACAAUAAAUGUCUUGUAAGUAUGUAUACUUUAUCUCCCACCUAUGAGCUCCAGAUAUCAAACCUUAUUAGAGUAGGGUGAGAGAGAAGGCAAUGUCACUAUGCCUUAUACCAUAAAUACCACAUAUCUUGAGAGAAGAUAUAUACCAUCACUGCCUUGGUAAGGAUCCAGAAAUACCACAAAAGAGAGAUUUAGAGAGUCAUACAAGGAAUCUCUAAGUUUUAUUUGAAAAUCUGCAAAAACUCCAGAGCUAUAGCUGAUCAAGAACAAGAGACAUGGCACUUGGCUAAACUGUUCUAUCUUUUAACUACUCAAGACAGAAGUGACGGUUACAAGUCCCAUGGUGAAAGGUAAAGUAAGUAAGUUUUAGUUCUUGACAGUUUACUCUAACUCAGAGAUGAGAUCUUAUUUAAAAGCAUGUGUACCGUCAAAUUUUUAAGAUAUUGCAACAACUUCUGAUCCAUUGCUGAGUCUAUCCUUGCUCAGGGACGAGCAAGAGGUAAGCUUGGGGGAGUUUGUUGACGGUCCUUAAGUAUCAAAUUUAAUUAUCAAAUAAACAAAGAAAAGGAUCCAAAUACAACCAACAUCUCAACUUAGGGUUUUAUCUGAUAGAAUUCUACGAGUUUUGGUGUUUGUCUAUUUCUGCAGGGGGUUAUCACGAAAUACGGAAGAAAGGCCCACACGUCGGGAUUACAUAGAGAUAUCAACGUGCCGCACAAUUAUUUUACAUCUAGAAGACUCCAGAAGCCACGGGAAGGAAGCGGAAGCCGAACGGAGCCAGGACCUGGGCGCCCGCCCUGCUACAGUGGCCAAUCACGUUCAACCUCGCGGAUUAUGCUCCACCGACCUAAAGGGUCAAGAAUAACCGUUCAAUCAAUGUCGGUUUGAUCCGACGGCCCAGGUUCACUUGAGGGGACUAUAUAACCAGACCCCCUGGCCCCUGGAGGAGGCACCCCUUGAUCAUUAUUCAUUAUUCAUAGACAGAGCAAAAGUUAGGGUUUAGAGAUGAGAGCUCUCCUCUCUUCUCUAAACUAGAGUAGAUCUAGAUAGUAGCGAGAUG